rnacentral:rRNA from 1 species
AACACGUGAGCAACUUGUCCUACGGUGGGGGAUAGCCGGCCCAACGGCCGGGUAAUACCGCGUAUUGCAUCGGCACCGCAUGAUGCUGAUGUGAAAGCGGCCGCAAGGUCGCGCCGGAGGAGGGGCUCGCGGCGUAUCAGCUUGUUGGUGGGGUAACGGCCUACCAAGGCUACGACGCGUAGCUGGUCUGAGAGGAUGAUCAGCCACAUUGGGACUGAGAUACGGCCCAGACUCCUACGGGAGGCAGCAGUGGGGAAUAUUGCGCAAUGGCCGCAAGGCUGACGCAGCGACGCCGUGUGUGGGAUGAAGGCCCUCGGGUUGUAAACCACUGUCAGGAGGGACGAAUACUCGGCUUCAAAUAGUUGACCGAGGGUGACGGUACCUCCAGAGGAAGCACCGGCUAACUCCGUGCCAGCAGCCGCGGUAAUACGGGGGGUGCAAGCGUUGUCCGGAUUCACUGGGCGUAAAGCGCGCGUAGGCGGUUCUGUAAGUCAUCUGUGAGAUCCCGGGGCUCAACUCCGGGGCUGCAGGUGAUACUGCAGAGCUAGAGCUCGGUAGAGGCAAGUGGAAUUCCCGGUGUAGCGGUGGAAUGCGUAGAUAUCGGGAAGAACACCAGUGGCGAAGGCGGCUUGCUGGGCCGAUGCUGACGCUGAGGCGCGAAAGCGUGGGGAGCAAACAGGAUUAGAUACCCUGGUAGUCCACGCCGUAAACGAUGGGUACUAGGCGUCGGGGGGAGCGACCCCUUCGGUGCCGUCGCUAACGCACUAAGUACCCCGCCUG